UACGGAGGGGGCUAGCGUUGUUCGGAAUUACUGGGCGUAAAGCGCGCGUAGGCGGACCUGCAAGUCGGGGGUGAAAGCCCGAGGCUCAACCUCGGAACUGCCUUCGAUACUGCGGGUCUCGAGUCCGGGAGAGGUGAGUGGAAUUCCUAGUGUAGAGGUGAAAUUCGUAGAUAUUAGGAAGAACACCAGUGGCGAAGGACGGCUGCACUG
rnacentral:rRNA from 1 species